UACGUAGGGGGCAAGCGUUGUCCGGAAUCAUUGGGCGUAAAGCGCGUGUAGGCGGUUUCGUAAGUCUGCUGUGAAAGUCGGAGGCUCAACCUUCGAAAGCCGGUGGAUACUGUGAGACUUGAGUACGGAAGAGGAGAGUGGAAUUCCUGGUGUAGCGGUGAAAUGCGCAGAUAUCAGGAGGAACACCAACGGCGAAGGCAGCUCUCUGGGACGUUACUGACGCUGAGACGCGAAAGCGUGGGGAGCGAACGGG
rnacentral:rRNA from 1 species